CGUGUAGGCGGGUCUUUAAGUCAGGGGUGAGAUGCCGAGGCUCAACCUUGGAACUGCCCUUGAUACUGGAGAUCUUGAGUCCGGGAGAGGUGAGUGGAACUGCGAGUGUAGAGGUGAAAUUCGUAGAUAUUCGCAAGAACACCAGUGGCGAAGGCGGCUCACUGGCCCGGAACUGACGCUGAGACGCGAAAGCGUGGGGAGCAAACAGGAUUAGAUACCCUGGUAGUCCACGCUGUAAACGAUGGAUGCUAGCCGUUGGGGAGCUUGCUCUUCAGUGGCGCCGCUAACGCAUUAAGCAUCCCGCCUGGGGAGUACGGUCGCAAGAUUAAA
rnacentral:rRNA from 1 species